rnacentral:lncRNA from 1 species
UAAAAUAACAAAGUUAGGGAGGCCCAAAAGGAUGAGAGCAGUUCAAUGAUUUGAAUAAAAUUCUUCAGAUUAGGAUGUAAGAGUUUUAGUCAUCUGUAAAUCUUAUUCUCUACUUUACUACUUUCCCCCAAUUAAUUCUUUUUCGUGAAAAUAAUAAGUUCCUAUUUGCUGUUCCAGAAUGAUAAAGAAUGCUGAGCAAUGCUACGUGAAGAUCAUAACAGUGGAUCACCAAUGCUUUUGCACGAAUCAAAGGUUAAAAUUUAGAUCCUUCUCUCUCAAACACACACAUUUAAAAUAAAUAAAAAAUAAAAAUUGGAUCUAGCUUUUAUUAUUUAACAAUUUAUUCAUGUUUCUCCCUCUGUUUUGCAGUGUUUUGCCUUGUUCUUGGUCCUUGACAGGUGCCAAAGUAUUGGAACUGCUCGCUCUUAGCAAGAGAUUGUAUACCGGAAAUAGUAUGUAUAUUGAAUCC